rnacentral:rRNA from 1 species
UACGUAUGUCACGAGUGUUAUCCGGAUUUAUUGGGCGUAAAGCGCGUCUAGGUGGUUAUAUAAGUCUGAUGUGAAAAUGCAGGGCUCAACUCUGUAUUGCGUUGGAAACUGUAUAACUAGAGUACUGGAGAGGUAAGCGGAACUACAAGUGUAGAGGUGAAAUUCGUAGAUAUUUGUAGGAAUGCCGAUGGGGAAGCCAGCUUACUGGACAGAUACUGACGCUGAAGCGCGAAAGCGUGGGUAGCAAACAGG